CGUGAACUGUUCGGCACGCCUGUUUUGUGAAGCCAAAAAUUUUAUUCUCAUUGCAGCUACUCUACCAUAUUCCUUGUACAGCAUAAAACAGGUCCAAAACGUGAAUAAAUAUUCAAUUGGAACAUGUUCUUAAGAUGAAAAAUAACCCCUUGUACAGCAUAAAACAGGUCCAAAACGUGAAUAAAUAUUCCAUUGCUAUGUGGACAAAGAACCUGAUUCAUGUGAACAACCAAUUGAAGCUCCUUAUCAGCAAGAGAUCCAACAGGAACACACACCGAAAAAGGAAAUUCAGACGAAUAAAGGACGAUACAAGUUACAAUUCUAUAUUGAAAUUGUCGUUUAUUCCUCUU
rnacentral:lncRNA from 1 species